CAGCAGCCGCGGGAACACGUAGGUGGCAAGCGUUGUCCGGAAUUAUUGGGCGUAAAGGGCUCGCAGGCGGUUUCUUAAGUCUGAUGUGAAAGCCCCCGGCUCAACCGGGGAGGGUCAUUGGAAACUGGGAAACUUGAGUGCAGAAGAGGAGAGUGGAAUUCCACGUGUAGCGGUGAAAUGCGUAGAGAUGUGGAGGAACACCAGUGGCGAAGGCGACUCUCUGGUCUGUAACUGACGCUGAGGAGCGAAAGCGUGGGUAGCGAAAGGGAUUAGAUACCCCCGUAGUCCCUGUCUCUUAUAC
rnacentral:rRNA from 1 species